GACGAACGCUGGCGGCGUGCUUAACACAUGCAAGUCGAACGGAAAGGCCCUGCUUUUGUGGGGUGCUCGAGUGGCGAACGGGUGAGUAACACGUGAGUAACCUGCCCUUGACUUUGGGAUAACUUCAGGAAACUGGGGCUAAUACCGGAUAGGAGCUCCUGCUGCAUGGUGGGGGUUGGAAAGUUUCGGCGGUUGGGGAGGGACUCGCGGCUUAUCAGCUUGUUGGUGGGGUGGUGGCUUACCAAGGCUUUGACGGGUAGCCGGCCUGAGAGGGUGACCGGCCACAUUGGGACUGAGAUACGGCCCAGACUCCUACGGGAGGCAGCAGUGGGGAAUAUUGCACAAUGGGCGGAAGCCUGAUGCAGCAACGCCGCGUGCGGGAUGACGGCCUUCGGGUUGUAAACCGCUUUCGCCUGUGACGAAGCGUGAGUGACGGUAAUGGGUAAAGAAGCACCGGCUAACUACGUG
rnacentral:rRNA from 1 species